rnacentral:rRNA from 1 species
UACGGGGGGGGGCUAGCGUUGUUCGGAAUUACUGGGCGUAAAGGGCGCGUAGGCGGUCUGCUAAGUUGGAUGUGAAAAACUCUGGGCUUAACCCAGAGCCUGCAUUCAAUACUGACAGGCUAGAGUUCUGGAGGGGAUAGCGGAAUUCCUGGUGUAGCGGUGAAAUGCGCAGAUAUCAGGAAGAACACCCGUGGCGAAGGCGGUUCUCUGGGACGGUACUGACGCUGAGACGCGAAAGCGUGGGGAGCGAACAGG